rnacentral:lncRNA from 1 species
CGAAGAACUAUUUAAACGAUUUCGAGAAUUUGGGAAGAAUGUCCAAUUUGUACAAUUCCUAUUCCCUAGCCAUCCAUUGCACAACGCUCGAAUCGCCUCUAUUUCGAAUAAGAAUGUUCAACGAAUUCAAACAACAGGCAAUUUCUACCGUCACACGAAUAUUUGUGCAAUUCCUAUUUCUCAUAACACCCCAGCCACCCUCUAUUUCAACGAAUCCUAAAGAAUUUCCAACAAAUUCGAACCAACUUCUCAGCCAAUUUCUAUCGCCCAAAUAUUUAUACAAUUCACUUGGCAGAAGCGAAUAUCCAAAAAGAUUAUCCAAAUAUUGCCAGUUCGAAUAAUUCCAAAAAAUCAGCAACGAGUCCAAACGAUAGCCAACCUCUGCCAUCGCACACGUAUUUAUACAGUUCACAUUUCCUCGCCAUUCCUCGUCCAACAUAAAUCAUCCCCUCGUCGAACCAUUUAACAUCCCCCCCGCUUCUUCACAAAAUUCUCAAAAAAAAAGGAAAAAAAAAACAAGAAAAAAUCCACCAACAUUACCAUGUAGAAUCGCAAAAUUUUCUCACAAAAGAUCAUUCAACACGAUCGUAGAUGCGAUGCGGAAGCGACGAGCGUGUGUUGGCGUAACCUUGAAUCGAUGAAAAGCCGUAGCUCCGCAGCGUCGCGGAUCAAUGGGAGUUGGCGCAUCGGGGUUUGCGUACAUCGGGAGUCAUCGUCGGUCCAUGAGGCUGUGAAUCUCAUAUGAAGGCAAGCCAAGGCCACGACAUGAGACGUGCAAAUUAAAAAAGGUAAUAAUUAUUAAAAAAAGAAGCAAGUAAAAAAUUCUCUCCCAAAACCGCUUUCCAACCACAACCAAGCACAACCACAGGCAAGGUACGGGCCUUUGUCAACGAGACAGUCAUCAACCAGUGAAUAUGUGGCGCAUUACCGUGAUUAUUAUAUAUAUGUAAUAGUAACAAUUUGAAAAAUCUAUAUAUAUAUGUAAUGUAUGUAUAUAUAUAUGUAUAGCUAUAUAUACAUAUACAUAUACGUAUGAAGUACGAAAGAUGGGUUAAUUUUAUGGUUUCGUGGAUGGAUAUGGAACAGGUGGGAUGAGACAGUGUAAGAGGAAAGAUAGGACAAUGGAGGGUCGAUUAAUAAUAAGUGUAUAGGAGCCAGUGACGAGCACCGUCAAAGUGGUGAUCGUUAAUACGACUAUUGUUUAACCAUAGUGGUCGAUAUUAAUACGUAGCAAUCGGUUAAACGAUUCGACCAGUAGCUCGAUCUCGAUUCUCAACGAACGUAAUGGCGGAACAGUGCUGGCUUGAGAGACAUUUAACUACACGUUAUCGUAUGAUCUUUUUCUUACAGAUUGAUCGUUUCUAUGGUAUUCGAUGGAUGGAUUUUGGACACUCUAUAUUUUAUCAUUUUAAAAUGUUAAAGAAUUUAAGGUGUAGAAUUUACAGGAUCAAUUUUCGAAUUUUGGAAUUUCUUUCUUGGUCUCUCAACAUUUUCUAUUUCUAAAAUAUCCCACAGACGCUGGUUAAUUUAUCAUGCUACGUUAAAUAUAAGAAGCGACUAACAUCGUUCUAACUAUCUAUAUACACUACCACCUCGAAACUAUACGUUAAUCAACACAGGAAAAGAAAGAAUCCAAAAAAUGUAUGCUGUGCAUCAAUCACCCCCAAAAGUAUUCUAAUUACUAAAAAAAACUCUCCAUUCUCUGCGAGUCAGUCCACUAUCGAAGAGGCCCCGCAAAAACUACUUGGCACAAUCUACUACAACAAAAAAAAAAAA